rnacentral:rRNA from 1 species
AACGAACGCUGGUGGCGUGUUUUAUACAUGCAAGUCGAGCGAGGACAGUAGCUUGCUACUGAGCCGAGCGGCGAACGGGUGAGUAACGCGUAAGCAAUCUGCCCCACAAUCGGGAACAACCGUGCCAACGCGCGGCUAAUGCCGGAUAUUGUGUCCUACUGCAUAGUAGGUUAACGAAAGAUUUAUCGUUGUGGGAUGAGCUUGCGUCCGAUUAGCUAGUUGGCGGGGUAAUAGCCCACCAAGGCGACGAUCGGUAGCCGGCCUGAGAGGGUGAUCGGCCACAUUGGGACUGAGACACGGUCCAGACUCCUACGGGAGGCAGCAGUGGGGAAUAUUGCGCAAUGGGGGAAACCCUGACGCAGCAACGCCGCGUGAGUGAGGAAGGUCUUCGGAUCGUAAAGCUCUGUCGGGUGGAAAGAAAUGUAUGGGGUUAAUAGCCUUCAUACUUGACGGUACCACCAAAGGAAGCACCGGCUAACUCCGUGCCAGCAGCCGCGGUAAA